UGAGGAAUAACAGUGCAAUCCUUCUUUGGCACCAUACAAGACAUAGCCAUAGCAUACAUGUCUUGUGUUGUGCCAAAGGAGAAUUGCCCUGCCAUUCACUC
rnacentral:pre_miRNA from 1 species